UCCAGACUCCUACGGGAGGCAGCAGUGGGGGAUAUUGCACAAUGGGGGAAACCCUGAUGCAGCGACGCCGCGUGGGUGAAGAAGCGCCUCGGCGCGUAAAGCCCUUUCAGCAGGGAAGAAAAUGACGGUACCUGAAGAAGAAGCCCCGGCUAACUACGUGCCAGCAGCCGCGGUAAUACGGAGGGUGCGAGCGUUAAUCGGAAUUACUGGGCGUAAAGCGCACGUAGGCUGUAUGACAAGUCAAGGGUGAAAUGCCACGGCUCAACCGUGGAACUGCCUUUGAAACUGUCAAACUGGAGUAUGUGAGAGGGCGGCGGAAUUCCUGGUGUAGGAGUGAAAUCCGUAGAUAUCAGGAGGAACAUCAGUGGCGAAGGCGGCCGACUGGCACAAAACUGACGCUGAGGUGCGAAAGCGUGGGUAGCAAACAGGAUUAGAUACCCUUGUAAAA
rnacentral:rRNA from 1 species